CCUACGGGAGGCAGCAGUGAGGAAUAUUGGUCAAUGGCCGGAAGGCUGAACCAGCCAUGCCGCGUGAAGGUCAGUGCCCUAUGGGCGUUAAACUUCUUUUGUGCGGGAGCAAUAAUGGUCACGUGUGGCCAGACGAGAGUACCGUACGAAUAAGCAUCGGCUAACUCCGUGCCAGCAGCCGCGGUAAUACGGGGGAUGCAAGCGUUAUCCGGAUUUAUUGGGUUUAAAGGGGGCGUAGGCUGUGAGGUAAGUCAGCGGUGAAAUGCCCCCGCGCAACGGGGUGAAGUGCCAUUGAUACUGCCUGGCUGGAAUGCGGAUGCCGUAGGAGGAAUGUGUGGUGUAGCGGUGAAAUGCAUAGAUAUCACACAGAACACCGAUUGCGAAGGCAUCUCACGAACCCGCGAUUGACGCUGAUGCACGAAAGCGUGGGUAUCAAACAGGAUUAGAUACCCGGGUAGUC
rnacentral:rRNA from 1 species